AGAAAAAAAGAAGCAAAAAGAUGGACAACAA
rnacentral:sRNA from 1 species